rnacentral:rRNA from 1 species
UACGUAGGGUGCAAGCGUUAAUCGGAAUUACUGGGCGUAAAGCGUGCGCAGGCGGCUUUGCAAGACAGAUGUGAAAUCCCCGGGCUUAACCUGGGAACUGCAUUUGUGACUGCAUGGCUGGAGUGUGGCAGAGGGGGAUGGAAUUCCGCGUGUAGCAGUGAAAUGCGUAGAUAUGCGGAGGAACACCGAUGGCGAAGGCAAUCCCCUGGGCCUGCACUGACGCUCAUGCACGAAAGCGUGGGAGCGAACAGG